GACCAACCCUUAAAGACUGCUGCAUCUUCAGGAUAUUCUAGUCCAACAUCGAGGUCACAAACUUUCUUUUCGAUGAGGACUCUCAAAGAAAAUUAUGCUGUUAUCCCUAUGGUAACUAAUUCCAUUAAUCAGAAUUCCUGGAUCAAAACUUGCGGGUAUAAAAACAGUAAAGAAGCUUUGUUUGUUCCUUAGUCGCCCCAACCAAAAUUUAAAGUAGGUUAAUAUUUAGAUCUAUAUGCUGUUUUCUACUUAUUUUUUUUAAAGCUCAAUAGGGUCUUCUUGUCUAUCAAUAGAAUUUAGGUUUCUUCACCUAAAAAUCAAGUUCUGGAAAUUUAUAUAGAGACAGUUUUGCUCACGUCAAACCAUUCAUACUAGCCCUCAAUUAUAGGGCAAAUGAUUAUGCUACCUUUGCACGGUCAGAGUACCGCGGCCGUUAAAAACUUAAUUCACUGGGCAGGUCCGACUC
rnacentral:rRNA from 1 species